GCGAGGCGCGCUCUAUAGCGGAACGUUCUCGUGCGGUUACCAUGACGCUGAGAGUGGGUGAAUCCCGCCCUCUCGCGCUGUUCUGACCGCUGGCUUGGUAUUUGUCUGAGGUAAACGGAGCUGUUCCAGAGCUUCCCCUGGACCAGCUUCAUUCCUUGGACCAGCCCUGGAUUUAACAUCUGGUAUGCCAUCCACAGGAAGAUGAUUUGGGAUCCAGAUGAACCUAUUUUUGACCUUAGUCAUAAUGUGACCCAUAAAAAGAAAGCUGAAAUGAGCUGCCUGGCACUGCGUGGACCCUGAUCAGAAUGUGCUGGCCGGGUGAGAUCACUCGCUCCACUGAACCUGCAUUCCUCUACUGCUCUGUCAGUGCAUUCCAGACAUGAAUGCUCGGACGCCUCUCAUGACUGCUCGGAGUUCAGUCUGUCAUACCUUUACACUGACCUCACUUUAACAGAAACAGGUCUGAGACCAGGACUAUGUCAUCAUUCUCAAAAUAGAAACACUGAGAGCUUCUUUUCCUCUACUAACCCUGAUGGAUUUAUGUAGGAGGCACACAGACAUAGGGUAGGGUAGGGUAUAUGAUUUCAUGUUGCAUCUGCACACAAAAUGAAAAAAAAAAAAAAUCACAUAAGGACUUCUCUUUUUUUGACAUUGACAUUUUUAUUUUAUUGACA
ensembl:lncRNA